rnacentral:lncRNA from 1 species
AAUAGAUAGAAAGAGAGAGACAUUCUGAGAUGGGGCGUCAGGCAGGAGUGAUGUAGGGGUGCAUUCGCUGCAGAUCGCCCGUCUACACAGGCUGGGUGUCGCCGCAUAGUUGCAGUCGUAACAUCAUUCUAAAGAUGGAUGAUUAACUCUGGUGCUGGAAGAUGGGAGAAGGAAAAAUGAGGCCAGAAAAACUUCAGGUAGACUAACCAUGUCUCUCUGCGGCCGUCUCUGCCCCCAGGGCGGGGUUACGAAGAAGACCUAUUUUCUCCCACCAUAAAAUUCCUUGUGACGUGUCUUAUACAGUGAAAUCUUAACCUGCUGACUGGGGAGACAUUGCUGAAGAAAUCCCAUGUGGAGUGAGGAGAAAAAAGUGUCGGCAAAUUAAACCAGAUUGGGAUUUUAAUGGACAUGAAAAGAGUCAUGAACAAAUAAUUUGGCUUGAAUUCGAGUCCAGCAUCACCCUCCCUGGUAUACAAAAUUUUGAAGGGACAACAUUUUUGAAGACAUCAGGACGUCAUUCCGGUAAAGUAUUUAAACAGAACAACUCUGCAAAGAUGGUCGGAAUGAUUGCCUCAUGGUUCGCAAAUGCCUGGAAACAUUGACCAACCAUUGAAACCAGAAGAUCGCAUACAUUCUGCUUCGGCUAUUUCUAAAGAAGAAAGAAAACAAGUUGAAUGAAGAUGAAUUGCAGGUGAAUUUACAAAAUCAGGUGGAUCGGAAUUUUUAUAUUAAUUGUUCUUUUAUUAUUUUGUUUUUUAAGUUCUUUUGGAAAAUGUUUUUAUGAAGUAGAUUUGUGACUGUGUAUUAGCGUGGUGUAUGUCAUGAUUUCACUUGGGAUAGAAUAGAGCAUCGGUGUUAUUACAAGUACAUAAUAAGUGUGCUGUAUUACAUAUUUUAAGAAGGGACAUUUUACAUAUAUUUUCCAAAGGUUUGCAAAAGAAAGGUCAUAGUUAAUAUUAUUGUUAGAAGAUGAUUGUUAGAAAGCAGGAAUACUAUACAUAAUUUCCUCAGGUACAGCAGUUUUCGCUAGAAGUUCAAUAUCAUGCUGUAAAAUGUAGGGCUGUUAACCUGUCAAUUAGCAUUAAAACAAACGAGUCUUUACUGGUAGUUGUAUCAAACAGACAAUACUGCUAGUUGUACCAAACAGACAACUUCUAGGUAAAUGAAAGACCCACUUACCGCACGUCAUGCAUAGCCGCUUCUCUUGCUCUGAAGGCCUCCUCUGUCCAUUGCGUGUCCCUUCGUCCGUAUGUAUCCUGGCGGGUGAUCUGUACCUUUUUUGGCUCUGUCUUUUGGUGUCAUUCUGGAAUGUCACUUGCUUAUGAGUAUUAACUAGUUCACGGUUUGUUUUUGUUUGUAUUGUAUUCACGUGGUGUUUACACGGUCUGCACCAAAGUUCGUAAGUUUUGGGAAACAGCGAACGUGCUGUCCUGAAAGGCUGUUGCUAUAAUUUGAUCAAGAUUUAGUGGUGUACAAGAAUUGACGUGUUAGUUUUGGUUUUGGUUACCCUCUGGCCCAGUGGCUAAUUCAGCCCUAUCGGCUGUCCUUCAAUAUUGGUACUUGUACCAAACAGACAAUUCUGGUAGUUGUGCCAAUAUCUUCUGUCUCAUGUCCAGACUUUCCCCUGAAACUCGAUCUACUCUUAUGGUUUCGUCUUAGCUUAAUAUUUUCAGUUUUUGACGUGUCCUUUUUCAUCUUUUCUGUACCCAGCAUUCCUCUCAGUCUGUUGUCUUCAGAGACAAUUUUCAAGUGAGUAGUUUUAUAAGUUUCACAUAAUUCUUCUUUCUGAUUUUUUUAGUUUUUCAGCUUUUGCAAGAAUAAAGUCAAAUAUCUGUUAGUCCUUUUGUUCUACAUGCAGCAUUUUGUCAGAUUUGAACUUCAAGCAUUUAAGCUCAUCUUUUACCGUUUUUUUUCUAGGUCUUAAAUGCCAUUGAUAUAAAUAGCAUUGCAGAAAGGCAAUUCCUGCUUCAUAGUUUUUUUUCUAAGUCCCUUUGUCUCGGGCUCUGUCCCAACUCAGUCACCGUGUUUCCUGGAUCACACAUAAUCCUCCCUAGCCUUCAAAGGCCAUUUCCAAGUUAUAUCUCCCACCUCGUGCCAAGUGCCCCGGUCACGAUCAUUCCUGAAUGUCUAUUGACUGCCCCUUUUUAAGCUUAUCUUUGAAUAUGAAUAUGGUUUUAAUUAUUCUUACCAGUUAUAAAGUACCCGUUUUUUCUUAGCAAUUAUACUAAAUACCCAAAGUGAUAUUUUACACCGUGUUAUACUCUUUCUUUAGUCCGGUAACCGCUUUAUCCCGUGUUCUGUAGGAUUUUCCGUCCAUUGCCAUACAUAUAUCACCGCAGUUUUCUCGGGUGCCAACUGGGGUAAAAUCAUAUAGGUGAAACGCAUUAUAGGCGGCUAAAUAUAUAGUUAUCAACAGAGUUUGUUGUAUGUGUGCGUGGGGGUCUAUUUCCCGUUAUUAAUCUCUCUAUCCCGGUGAUAAUCAAGGAAGGACUAGUCACUGAUUUUCCCGUAAAGUUUUUCAUUUCGUGAAGGAAACAAUUGGUCAAUACACUCCAAUCUAGUAGCAACUGCCUAGAAAGUAGCUAUUUGAAAUAAACAGUCUGAAGAGCACUGUAGCCGACACUACGUUAAAUCCCACGAAGAAAUGUAGCGAAUAAAUAAAUAGUAAGUAAGCGAGUAAGUAAGUAAGUAAGUGUUAAAAUAGAGCCAGUGGUCUCUUUUCACACCCUUUUGACUAUCACGCCCAAACGAUAGCCAAACCCCAACUUUCACGUGAUGCGUCUUAUGUAAAUUCUAUUUCCAAAUUUCCUUUUAAAGGUGCCAAAUAUAUAACUCCAAGCAGCUUACUCUCUUACUCUCUUACUCUCUUGACUUGCUUUUUUAAUUGCGAAGGAAACAUUGCCAUUGCAGCAUGACUACGUUCCUCCGCUAGGUCUGAAUGAAAAAUGGCUUUUGCACGCCGACACGUGCUACAAGAACAUGGGGGAUAAUGUUGGAUAGCUGGAUCCGAUAAGGAGGGGGAAAGGGUAGAUAAAUGAUCACUUUGGUCCAAAACUGUGAUCAAAUUAUAAAAAUUUUUGAAAGUCAGUUUCCGAACAUAACGCAUUUUGUUGGGAAAGGGAAAUAUCCAAUGUAGCACAAAGAGCCUGGACGAUCACAGGGAAAUCAUAAAGAUUGAAAGCAUUACAAAUAGCCGUAUAAAUAUUUGUCAAAUUAUUCCGCGGCCAAUGGUGAAUAAUUGGGGCCAAAAAGGAU